GAAUUUGCUGAGAUCGAAUGAGCAACUAAUGAUAGAUUUAUCAGAGAGCUGUGACUGGUGCAAUGCAGUAUUUCUAGAGUCAGUGAAGAUGGUUCGUGAGCGAUUGAUCGGUGAAUAAUUAGCAGAUCACGGCGUUGCUACCGUUACCCAAGCUGCAAAUUUAUCCAUAAAUUUGCGAGAAUACCCCCACUUCU
rnacentral:misc_RNA from 1 species